rnacentral:lncRNA from 1 species
CGGGCCGCCCACAGCCCUGCCCCCGCCGUCCGCUCCCCGCGCUGCUUUCCCGCCUCACCUCAGCGGGCGGCGGCAGCUCCCCCCGCCCUGAGGCGGACAGGUGCGGAGCCCUGGGAGCGGCCGUAGAGCAUAGCAGAAGGCAGUACAGUAACGUAGCAAGAGGACUGCUUCCACAGACAGCUUAGCCGGUGAAGAACUAAAUAGAACACCAAGCAGUCACCUCACGGGAGGAUUUAUUAGCAAGGAACUCUUUGUACAUCCACAAAUGCAAUGGGCAACGCAGGUGGAAGCAGUGCACGCCAGUCUCCAUUUAAUCAUUCAGGUACCUCUUACAACCCCUGCUGUCUGUUGGUCUCCACUCUCUAGUGCUAUUGAUUUCAAGACACCGAAGUUUUUCUGUGGAACUCAAGGAGUCUUUUUGUUGUUGUUGUUCAUUCGAAUUAAAAGUGCAUUUGGCAGAUACAAAGAGGACAUCUGGCUUUCCCUGGGAGGGGAGUAGCCCAUCCUGCUUGCUACAGUGGUGAAGAUAUGAUAACAUGACACAAAAGAAUUAAGGUCCCAAGUGAGGCCAUGGAAGCAUGCUGCAGUCUUCCUGGAGGAGUAGGAGUCACAGGAAGUCUGUAGCACUACUCCUAGUGCACACAAAUUCCUUGCUGCCAUAGUUUGGAAGCAGCAGGAAGGUGUAAUGGUCAAAGUCAUGAUCCUGUAGACAAGAAAACAAAACUGCACGUGCUGCAUCCCUUCCUGAGAUGGGACAUCCAAAUUAUUUAUCUGUGUACCAGGAUUUAGCUAGUUAGGAAAAAUUUUUUCAACUGUAGGACUGCAAUAUAUCUUAAAAAAUCAGAAAUAACAUUUUCAGCUGGCAGCUCUGUCUCAUGGAUACAGCACGUUCUCUCUGGCAGUUGAAGAUGCUUUUCUUUCCAUUUCAUAGCUCUGAAGCUUUUGAUUUCUGUUCAAGCUACGUUCCUUAUCUUCCAUGAAAGUUUCCUUCUGCUGAUAAAUUCUCUAGCAAGUUUGCCUUCUUUGCUC